rnacentral:tRNA from 1 species
UCCGAUGUAGUGUAACGNCUAUCACAGUCCGCUCUCACCGGGCAGAUCGGGGUUCGACUCCCCGCAUCGGAG